AACGAACGCUGGCGGCAGGCCUAACACAUGCAAGUCGAGCGCCCCCUUCGUGGUAGGCUGCGGUCGCGUGUGUAACGCGUGGGAACGUUCCCUUUUCUACCGAAUUCUCUCUUUAAGUUGAGGGUAAUACCGUAUACGCUCCUUGGGGAAAAGAUUCAUCGGAAAAGGAUAGGCCCGCGUUGGUUUAGGUAGUGGGUGUGGUAAUGGCCUACCAAGCCUACGAUGCAUAGCUGGUUAGAGAGGAUGAGCAGCGACACUGGGACUGAGACACGGCCCAGAAUACUACGGGAGGGAGGAGUGGGGAAUCUUAGAAAAUGGGGGCAACGCUGAAGGAGCCAGGCUGGGUGAGUGAUGAAGGCAGUAGGGAAGUAAAGCUCUUUAAGAUGGGAAGAUAAUGACGGUACCAGCAGAAGAAGCACCGGCUAACUCCGUG
rnacentral:rRNA from 1 species